AUGGAGGAUGCUAGCAAGACUGUUGGAAGUUGCAAUUCAUACGAGCAUUCAAAGAUGGAUAAUAGAUGUGAUUUGUGUAUUUGGGAUGAUGAAAUUUCUCACUUCAUUAGUGAAAUCUCAAAUUCUGAAAGUUAUUGCAAACAUUGUGAUGUGGCAAAAGUGAAGUUUGAACUGACAGAAAGAAAACUGGAAAAAUCCAAGUUGAAGAUAGUUGCAUUGAAGAGGAAACUUUUCCAACUUAAUAUGGAAAUGUUGAUGUCUUGGUUUAUCUUUGCAGUGUUGUACAACUAUUUGUAA